rnacentral:rRNA from 1 species
GUCUAUGGCCAUACCACCCUGAACACGCCCGAUCUCGUCUGAUCUCGGAAGCUAAGCAGGGUCGGGCCUGGUUAGUACUUGGAUGGGAGAAACACAAUUCCUUGCCAUCUUGAAAACCUAUUGUCUACA